rnacentral:rRNA from 1 species
UACGUAGGAUGCAAGCGUUGUCCGGAUUUACUGGGCGUAAAGCGCGCGCAGGCGGCACACCAAGUACCCUAUGAAAUCUCCUUGCUCAACGGGGAGGGUGUUGGGUAGACUGGUGAGCUAGAGGACGGUAGAGGGGGGUAGAAUUGCUGGUGUAGCGGUGAAAUGCGUAGAGAUCCGGAGGAACACCAGAGGCGAAGGCGGCUUGCUGGACAAUUACUGACACUCAACUACGAAAGCGUGGGGAGCAAACAGG